GAUGAACGCUAGCUACAGGCUUAACACAUGCAAGUCGAGGGGCAGCAUGAACUUAGCUUGCUAAGUUUGAUGGCGACCGGCGCACGGGUGCGUAACGCGUAUCCAAUCUACCCGUCACUCGGGGAUAGGCUUUCGAAAGAAAGAUUAAUACCCGAUGGUUUUGUCCGUUCGCAUGGAUGGUCAAAUAAAGAACUUCGGUGACGGAUGAGGAUGCGUUCCAUUAGGCAGUUGGCGGGGUAACGGCCCACCAAACCUACGAUGGAUAGGGGUUCUAGAGGGAGGUCCCCCAAAAUGGAACUGGGGAACCGUCCAAACCUCCUAGGGAGGGCAGCAGUGGGAAUAUUGGGCAAUGGGCGGUAGUUCGGACCAGGCAAGUAACGUUGCGGAUUGCCGCCCCUCCGGGUUUAAAACGGUUUUAUUUGGGGAUCAAGUGAGGCACGUGUGCCUUUUUGUAUGUACCCAUAUGAAUAAGCAUCGGCUAAUUCCGUGCCAGCCGCCGCGGUAA
rnacentral:rRNA from 1 species